UACGUAGGGUGCAAGCGUUAAUCGGAAUUACUGGGCGUAAAGCGUGCGCAGGCGGUUUGCUAAGACCGAUGUGAAAUCCCCGGGCUCAACCUGGGAACUGCAUUGGUGACUGGCAGGCUAGAGUAUGGCAGAGGGGGGUAGAACUCCACGUGUAGCAGUGAAAUGCGUAGAGAUGUGGAGGAACACCGAUGGCGAAGGCAGCCCCCUGGGUCAAGACUGACGCUCAUGCACGAAAGCGUGGGGAGCAAACAGG
rnacentral:rRNA from 1 species